UGAGAGUGUUUAUAGUGCUGUGAGUUUAACACUUCAUCACUGACACACACAACAAUCUUCAUCAACAUGACCUUCAUCAUCAUCUGGACACUUUUAUACUGCUUCGUACUACAAGGGUGUAAAGCUAAGAUCACAGUCACUCAGAGUCCUAAAGUACAAACUGCCACACCAGGAGAAAAUGUUAAGAUGAGUUGUAAACUCAGUUCUCCAGUUAUCAGUU